rnacentral:lncRNA from 1 species
UAAAAUAUAGAACAGUUAAUUGUAAUUUCUUGAAUCUCAGAGUGGUAAAGUUUAGUAGUUAUGAAUAUUGUAAUAAAUUAGGUUUAGUUUAGUAUUGAGGUAUAUCUAAUGCUAUUAAAUAAAAUGGAGUUAGAAAAAGAGCAUAUAUAUAUAUAUAUAUAUAUAUAUAUAUAUAUAUAUAUAUAUAUAUAUAUAGUUGAGCUAAAAUACUAUCGAUAGCAAACGAGUUCCAUUGCCACCCAUUUAUUUUCGAUGAUAGAGCCUCCAAAUUGAUGAUCGGCACCGUUGAACAUGAUCUAUACCACUUGAAGUGUUUAGAAAUCAAAUUUCAAAUCUUUUCGACAUCAUUUGCCUAAUGAUCAAAGGGUUUCAAAAUUUGUAAUUUUAAUGGUCGAUAUGAGGCGCUUUCUCGUUUAACGGCGUAAAGAUAUUCAAAUCAAUUGAAUUUUUGUUAGAAAAUUUUUUAAAUUAUUUGAAACAAGAUCUAUACUCUUGAUCAUGAUUACAAGACUCCUAUCAUCAUUUUUUAAAUAAUAUUUAUUUUCAGCCGUUCAUUUUUGUGCCAACUCGAUGGAUAAGAGAACAAUAUCGAAAAAGUAUGAAAUUUGAUUUCUAAACACUUCAAGUGGUAUAGAUCAUGUUCAACGGUGCCGAUCGUCGAUUUGGAGGCUCCAUAAAAAACAAACGGAUAGCAACAGAGCCCGUUUGCUAUCGAUAGUAUUCUAGCUCAACUAUAUAUAUAUAUAUAUAUAUAUAUAUAUAUAUAUAUAUAUAUAUAU